UUGUAAGAGGGAUAUAGGAAGUGCUUUACUACGCUGCCAUCUUGGCUCCGCCUCCUGGUAAAUUAUAUUUUUUGAGGAAUUUUUUUCAAUUUCGUCCAAACUAUCAAACUUAUUGGUGUAAAGUGUUGUUUGAUUUUGGUAAAUGUUCCAUGUAAGUUUAAAAACAAUGUGGUUGUUUAUGUGCUGUGCCCUAUAUAUCAGUUAAGUCAAGUUGGUUAAUUAUGUUAAGAUCUUCUAUAUCUUUAAUGAUUUGUUUGCUUACUUGUUGUAUCAAAUAUUGAGAAAGGAGUAUGAAUUUCUCCUAUUAUAAUGCUGGAAUUUUUCCUUUUAGCCCUGUCAAAUUUUGAUUUACAUAGUUUGAAGCUAUAUUAUUGGUUGCUUACCAAUAUAGUAUGGUGAUCUCUUGGGUUGACUCUUAUUAUGUAAAAUAUCCCUUCAAUUAUAGUAUUAUUUCUCACCUUAAAGUCUACUUUAAAUAUAGUUACUGUAAGUAUAUUUAUAUCAUGUUUCUUUUAGUGAAUGUUUGUAUGAUGUAUUAUUUUUCAUCAAUUUUAUUUUCAAUUUUUCUGUGACCUUGUAUUUAAAAUGUGUUUCUUUUAAGUAAAAUGUAGGCAAGUUUUUCUAUUUAUCCAGUCUGAUAACCUUCUGUAACGUAGUAUUUCACAAAUGUUGUCUUGACCCAGUGUUGAAGCCCUGGCUAAAGGCCAGUCAGUUACCCUUCUUAAGAAGCUGAUUAAGUCCACAUUCAAGUCACUUUCUUUAUCUGGCUCUUACAUUCCAGGGUCACUAUGCACUUGCCUUAAUCACCCCAGGGCCAGAUACCAAACAACUAGGGGUAGCCUCUAUGCUGCAGAGCCUGUGGAAUUAUUCAAAAUACCCAUCUCCAGGAGGCCCGUGAAACCCAGAGCCGCUGCUGGUUUCCAACCACCGACCUUUCAGUUCUCAGCUGAGCACUUAACCACUGAACUACCAGAGCUCCUUUAGGCAAAAGAAGGUCUUGGGCUACGAUGUUGAUGUACAUUGCGUCUGCUCACUCCAGCAAUGCAAUUGAUGAGAACAUCACUUUUACUUAAUAACCUGGUGAAGAACCAGAUGGUAUCCGGUGGAAAACCAGCACUGUGAGUUUAAAGAGCCUGCAAUGGCUGCCA